UACGUAGGGACCAAGCGUUGUUCGGAUUUACUGGGCGUAAAGGGCGCGUAGGCGGCGUGACAAGUCACUUGUGAAAUCUCUGAGCUUAACUCAGAACGGCCAAGUGAAACUGUUGUGCUAGAGUGCAGAAGGGGCAAUCGGAAUUCUUGGUGUAGCGGUGAAAUGCGUAGAUAUCAAGAGGAACACCUGAGGUGAAGACGGGUUGCUGGGCUGACACUGACGCUCAGGCACGAAAGCGUGGGGAGCAAACAGG
rnacentral:rRNA from 1 species